AUUGAACGCUGGCGGCAUGCCUUACACAUGCAAGUCGAACGGCAGCACGGGAUCAAUCCUGGUGGCGAGUGGCGAACGGGUGAGUAAUAUAUCGGAACGUGCCCAGUCGUGGGGGAUAACGUAGCGAAAGCUACGCUAAUACCGCAUACGAUCUACGGAUGAAAGCGGGGGAUCGCAAGACCUCGCGCGAUUGGAGCGGCCGAUAUCAGAUUAGCUAGUUGGUGGGGUAAAGGCCCACCAAGGCGACGAUCUGUAGCUGGUCUGAGAGGACGACCAGCCACACUGGAACUGAGACACGGUCCAGACUCCUACGGGAGGCAGCAGUGGGGAAUUUUGGACAAUGGGCGCAAGCCUGAUCCAGCAAUGCCGCGUGCAGGAUGAAGGCCUUCGGGUUGUAAACUGCUUUUGUACGGAACGAAACGGCGAGCUCUAAUAAAGUUUGCUAAUGACGGUACCGUAAGAAUAAGCACCGGCUAACUACGUGCCAGCCGCCGCGGUAA
rnacentral:rRNA from 1 species